CUUGCGGACUGUUAUAUCAAAUGAGAGUAGAUUUUUAUGCUACAAGCAUGAAAACAAAAUCAGACAGGUUGAAACAAGAA
rnacentral:ncRNA from 1 species